ACAAGAAGGCUGAACAGGUUUCUGAAAAGGCCAGUAUUCACAUCUAAGGAGUUUUGGCGAUCCAGAAGGAUACCGUGGUCAACAGUAUCAAAAGCUGCUGAGAGUUCCAGGAGGACGAGGAAGGUGCACUCACCCCAUCCAAUGCUCUCCUCAUAUCAUCCACCAAGGCAACCAAGCCUCUUUCAGUCCCAUAUCCAGGCCUGAAGCCCGACUGAAAUGGAUCCAGAUAAUCUGCUUCCUCCAAUUGCGCUUGCAACUGCUUUGCCACCACAAGCUCAACCGCCCUGCCCAAGAAUGAAAUUCAGAUCACAAGAAAAUCAGAACACAGACAAAUGCAUAUAUUUCUUGAACUUGCUGUUUCAGAUGGAGUCUCAGGAAAGUGUUACAGAUGUGAUAUUAUGAUUUGUAAAACUGCAUAAGUUUCAGCUACUGAUGACAACUUCAGUGUCAAAACAUUUUUUACAACAUGGCAAUGGUACUAAGAUCAUUUACCGACUAGCUCCUUAUCUGCAAAUAACAAGAUAUUCAUCCAGUCUUGAGAAUAUUAUAAGCCUGGUUGAUAAUUAUAUUGGCUAAUCAACAUUAAUGUUUGUACAAAGUGUAAAUGGUCACAUCAAAAAUUGGGGGGGGAGAAAAUGUUGUGGGCAUGAUCCAGCCAAAAUUAAGCUUUCUUUUUUUUUGUCCCACUGAUUUUAAAAGAAAAGACAACCACAUUAGUUAAUUAAACAACAGGCUGUUACAUGCUUGCAUUAGGGGUGCUAUUUUAUUUUCUUGCAAAGCCACUUUGAGGUA